AACGAACGCUGGCGGCAGGCCUAACACAUGCAAGUCGAACGAGAAGCUAGAGCUUGCUCUAGUGGAAAGUGGCAGACGGGUGAGUAACGCGUGGGAAACUACCCAGUAGUACGGAACAACAGUUGGAAACGACUGCUAAUACCGUAUACGCCCUCAGGGGGAAAGAUUUAUCGCUAUUGGAGGUGCCCGCGUUGGAUUAGCUUGUUGGUGAGGUAACGGCUCACCAAGGCGACGAUCCAUAGCUGGUCUGAGAGGAUGAUCAGCCACACUGGAACUUAGACACGGUCCAGACUCCUACGGGAGGCAGCAGUGGGGAAUCUUGCACAAUGGGCGAAAGCCUGAUGCAGCCAUGCCGCGUGAGUGAAGAAGGCCCUAGGGUUGUAAAGCUCUUUCGUCGGUGAAGAUAAUGACGGUAGCCGAAGAAGAAGCCCCGGCUAACUCCGUG
rnacentral:rRNA from 1 species